GGUCGAACCUCGAACCGCUAACAAAUGCGGUUCGAACAGAACCUAUAACCGGAAGAUUGGAAAAUCGGAGUUGGAUCGUUGAACCGGCCGGGAACCGGUCGGUCGAACCGAACCGUGACCCGGCCGGUUUUUGAAUUUUUCCAACAACGUUUCCUUCGUGCAACCCUAACACCCUAAGUUCCCUAACCGUUACCCCUCCAGACUCCAGAGUCUUCCUUCUACUCUCACAACGCGAAGCAGCACUCCCUCGAGCUUCUCCAGUCCUCCGUCGUCUCAACGCCAUCGAAGCCAUCGGCGCAACUUCCGUCCUUCCACCGUCGCCGUUGCAACUUCGAGCUUCGAAGCCACCAUCGUGACUUCCUUCCCCUCUCAUCUUCGAUCUUCAAACGCAGAAAAGAGGCAGCCCUAAGCCUCCGUGUCCUCGCCCUUCUUCAAGCUGUCCAGCCACCGCAGGGGAGGAGAGAGCCUCUGCUGCGCGCCGCCGUGCCUCCAUCGCUGCCAAUCCAUCACCGCCGCUGCUAGGGUUUGUUGGAGCUGCGCAAAGCCAUCGUCGUCGCUGUCACGUGAGGAAGGAAGCGAGAGAGACCGAAGCUGCGAGAGAGGAGAAGUCACCCCCGCCGAAAGCCGCUGCUGAAGACCCCAUGAUAAAAGCGUGUUUUCGACAUGAAGGAAAAGACAAAAACUACUUCUACUCUCAAGCGCAUUUUAGUGAAUUGUACAUCUCAGGCAAAAGCAUAUGGGAGCUGUGUUGCAUCCAAGGUUCCAGAGAUUGAACGUGAUGUCUGUGCAAAGGAGUUUCUGGCAUUAAAAAGUUGUAUGCAGAAUACGUUGAAAAAGAAGGUUUAAGCUCGCACUAAAUAGCUUAGUGUUUAUGAAGAGAAGCAUUUAGAGAAGAAUUUUGCUGCCAUCAGUCUAAGAGGAAGGUCCAAUAGUUGGACAUAGCACAGUGAAAGAGGACUCAGCAACAUGGCUGGAAAAGCAUCAACAUCAAAACCUAAUAUAGGUCUCAGCGGCACUGGUGGCCUUUCACAUGCUUACAUUCAGUAUCCACCAUUUCGGUGCAAUGUUCCUGGAUCAAAGGGAUUGUUUUAUGAUGAUGGAAACAAAUUGCUACUCUCUCCAACAGCUGAUCAAGUGUUUUCAUGGAAAGUUGUUCCCUUUGAUCCUCUUAUUGAUCCCACCACUGAUUCAAUAAGUGAGGGGCCUAUUUUAGCUAUUCGAUACUCUUUAGACACAAAGGUUAUCGCGAUCCAACGAUCGAACCAUGAGAUACAAUUUCAGAUCAGAGAGACAAGGGAAACUUUUAGCCAUAAGUGCAGGCCAGAAUCAGAAAGCAUACUUGGUUUUUUUUGGACUGAUAGCCAACAAUGUGAUAUUGUAAUUGUUAAGACCAGUGGUCUAGACUUGUAUGCAUAUAAUUCAGCCUCUAAAUCACUUCAAUUGGUCGAAACAAAGAAAAUCAAUGUGAGUUGGUACGUUUACACACAUGAAAGUCGGUUGGUUCUUCUUGCUUCUGGAAUGCAGUGCAAGACAUUCCAUGGAUUUCAGAUUUCAUCUGCAGAUAUUGUUCGCUUGCCAAGGUUUGACAUGGUUAUGGCCAAAUCUGAGGCCAAUAGUAAGCCUGUUUUAGCUGCUGAAGACAUCUUUAUUAUCACUGUUUAUGGUAGGAUAUAUUGCUUGCAAGUUGAUAGAGUUGCUAUGCUACUCCAUUCAUAUAGGCUAUAUCGUGAUGCUGUGAUUCAGCAGGGUUCUCUACCAAUAUAUUCCAGCAGGGUUGCUGUGAGUGUGGUUGACAAUGUACUUCUUAUCCAUCAAAUUGAAGCAAAGGUUGUCAUACUUUAUGAUCUCUUUGCAGAUUCUCGAGCUCCGAUAUCUGCACCCCUUCCUUUAUUGCUAAGAGGUUUUCCUAGGUCCAGUACUACUACAUCUCAAUCUAGUGGUAGAGAAAGUCACAGUUCAUACAGUAACGUGAGUAAUCAUGAAGCAGUUACCUAUGCCGAUUCAUGGACUUUUCUAGUGCCUGACCUUGUAUGUGAUGUGACCAACAAGUUAUUAUGGAAGUUUCAUUUAGACUUAGAGGCAAUUUCUGCCAGUAUCUCAGAGGCCCCAUCAAUAUUAGAGUUCCUGCAGCGGAGGAAGUUGGAAGCUAACAAGGCAAAACAAUUGUGCUUAGGUAUAAUUCAAACACUUAUUCUGGAGCAUAGGCCUGUACCUGUAGUUGCCAAAGCUAUACACGUAGUGGUUACCUCAUACUCUCAUUCAAUUAAGACUGGUAGCUAUCUUAAGGGCCUGAAGCCAGAGAAGCCAUCGGCAUCUAGUGUACAAAAUGCUGGUGCUGAUGUAUCUGCUGUAGGAACAAAUGCAAUUGGAAAAUCAAUUGCACGUGAAUCCGAUGCAAGGGUGGACAGAGGAUCUUCUAGUAAAGCUUUAAGUCUGGAUUCUGAGGAUGAGUCCCGUACUGCAAAUCCAAAACACAAUUCAAAGGAGACCCAAGUUGGGGAUGAAGUGAACGAUGAGAACUCCUCUGGCACUGAAGUUCAUAAUGCUUAUGUUACGCAAUCAUCUCUGCAGCUUGGGCAAGAGGAAUCCCAACUCGCCUCCGCAGCAAUUUCACCAGAUGAGAUGUACAGCUUUGUCUUUUCUCCCAUUGAUGAAGAGAUGGUUGGAGACCCUUCUUACUUGGUUGCCAUCAUUAUUGAAUUCCUUCACAGUGCAAAUGUGGAAAAGAUUCGAGCACUCCCAAAUCUGUAUGUAUUGAUAAUUCAAUUGCUGGUCCGCAAUGAACGAUAUGCAGAACUUGGGUUGUUUGUCAUAAACAAGACUGUCUUUGUAACAGAUUUUGGAGCCCUCUAAGGAAGUUGCACUACAGCUCCUAGAGUCUGGUCGUCAGAAUACGCAAACUAGGAAGCUUGGACUGGACAUGCUGAGACAGCUUGGUCUACAUCAUGAUUAUGUGAUGCUGCUACUGCAAGAUGGAUACCACAUGGAAGCAUUACGAUAUGCACGGAAAUUCAAGGUGGAUAGCAUCCGGCCGGCAUUGUUCUUGGAAGCAGCAUUUGUUUCCAAUGACAGUCAACGUCUUGCUGCAGUUCUAAGGUUCUUUAUAGAUUUCCUUCCUGGCUUCAAGAACACCUUAGACCAUAAUAGAUACCUCCGCAUACUGAAUGAGAUGAACACAUCCAUGACUGCUUGAGAAGUCUUUAUAGAAACUAAUAAAAACUGUAUCUUAGGGAAAAUUUUGGGCCGUAUUCUCAUUUGGUACCUUUUUCAAGUAUGGGGUUAUCUCGUUAAAGUUGAUGUUGAUAUCUACAAGAUAUGUGAUGGAUUCUAGCAAUAGAUUCAUGUUGUAUGUUAAGCUGCGUUUGCAAGAAAAACUGAGAUUGAGAAAUAGAUACUAAGAGACAAAUACUAAAUUUAGUCCGUGUUUGGUGUAAAAUGUACACGAAUGAGUUAUGUCUAAGUUUCAUGAUUAGUUUAAGAUAAAUAUAGAUAUUGAGGGGUAAAUUUGAAAUUUGAAAAGUUAAAUAAGAGUAUUUUUGAAAAGAAAUAUUAAAAUUUCAGUUUCUGUUCCUAGAAAUUUUAGUUUCAGUCUCUAAUGACCAAACACUAUACUCAGUCUUUAGUUUCAAUCCCUGGAAACAAAUGUAGUCUUAAUGUCUCAAAGAGGACCAAUUUUGAUUUAAAUGAAGUACUCUCUUUUCUUUUAUUCUUUUA